rnacentral:tRNA from 1 species
CGGGGCRUAGCGUAGUGGCUAGYGCGCCUGCUUUGGGUGCAGGAGAUCGGGAGUUCGAGUCUCCCCGCCCCGACCG